UGCCAGCAGCCGCGGUAAUACCAGCUCCACUAGCUUAUACAAUCAUUGUUGCGGUUAAGAGGCUCGUAGUUGGAUUGAAUAAAACAUAUAUACACAAUACUGUGAACAAACCAGAGUGUAUAAAACAUGUAAUAUAUUAUAUAUUUAGCAAUGAAUGUUUUAUCAUGGAAUAUUGCUAUAAUGAAUAUUAAUAUCGAUGGAGAUAGUUGGAGUUAAGAGUACUGAUAGGCGAGCGGUGAAAUGCAUUGACCCUAUUAAGACUAACAAAAGCGAAAGCACUUAACUAGAUUAUUCUCUUUGUAUUAUUUUACAAUGAAGAGCGAAGGUUGGGGGAACAAAGAGGAUCAGAUACCCUCGUAGUCCUAUUUUUACAUCAAACUAUGGGAUUUCAUUCACACUAAACACUAAACAUUAUAAUUAUAAUUAUGAUUGAGUAUAUGUCAAAAUAUUACUCUCAUAUUAAAUAAUUAUUAUAUAUAUGAUUAUAUGUACUUUGAGCUCAUAUAAUUAUAUAGGUGAGAUGUAAGCAUUAUAAAGUGAAUAAUAUACAAGUAAUAUUGUAUUAUUAUGAUCUUUAAAAUAAAAAAUGUAAUGUGAUGCACGUUUUAGGUACGAGCUUACUAUAGAAAUAUUUAAAAUAAUACCCUCCUGGGGUAGUAUGCACGCAAGUGUGAAACUUGAAGGAAUUGACGGAAGGGCACCACAAGAACGCGUGGAGCAUGUGGCUUAAUUUGACUCAACCCGGGAAAUCUUACCAGGUCCAGACAUAUUGAGGAUUGACAGGCGAUAGUAUAUAAUUCAUUUAUAUGCAUAAAAAUGAUAGUCCUUUCAUGAUUAUAUGAUAGGUGGUGCAUGGCCGUUCUUAGUUCGUGGAGUGAUUUGUCUGCUUAAUUGCGUUUCAGUAAAUAAAAUAUAUAAUAUAUUAUAAUAUUUAGUUCUGCCUUGAAUAUUAUUCAAGGAUUUAAAGUGAACAUAUUAUAUAUAUUAUUAUAUAAUAAAUGAAUGCAACGAACGUGACCGA
rnacentral:rRNA from 1 species